rnacentral:rRNA from 1 species
GUGGGGAAUAUUGGUCAAUGGACGGAAGUCUGAACCAGCCAUGCCGCGUGCAGGAAUAAGGUCCUAUGGAUUGUAAACUGCUUUUAUUCGGGAAUAAACCUCUUUACGUGUAGGGAGCUGAAGGUACCGAAGGAAUAAGCACCGGCUAACUCCGUGCCAGCAGCCGCGGUAAUACGGAGGGUGCAAGCGUUAUCCGGAAUCAUUGGGUUUAAAGGGUCCGCAGGCGGGCUAUCAAGUCAGAGGUGAAAUCCCACAGCUUAACUGUGGAACUGCCUUUGAAACUGAUGGUCUUGAAUUAAGUGGGCGUUGGCGGAAUAUGACAUGUAGCGGUGAAAUGCAUAGAUAUGUCAUGGAACACCGAAAGCGAAGGCAGCUAACGAUACUUAUAUUGACGCUCAUGGACGAAAGCGUGGGUAGCGAACAGGAUUAGAUACCCGAGUAGUCC